rnacentral:rRNA from 1 species
AACCAAGAAGGCUAAGUAAUAUUAGGACGGUAAAAAGAUGGUUAAAUAAUAUAUUUUUAAUAAGUUUACUUAAUUUCUAUAAAAGGGUAGAAUUUGCAUAUAGAUAUAAAAUCUAAAAAUAACUUAUGAAUUGAAGCCGUGAUAGCCUUGAGGGAAACUGGGAUUAGAUACCCCAUUAUUCUUGGCCGUAAAAAAAUUAAGUUUACCAGAGUACUAUGAACUAAAAAAUUUAAAACUCAAAGAGCUUGGCGGUGUUUUAGACCUCUCAGGGGAACCUGUCUCAUAAUCGACAAUCCACGUUAUACCUAGCCCUAUUUUGCUUUUCAGUUUGUAUACCGUCGUCGUCAGGUAACUUUUAAAAAUUUAGAAGUUAGCAAAAAAGCUAAAUAAGCUUGUACGUCAGAUCAAGGUGCAGCCUAUAUUAGGGUGAGGAUGGGUUACAAUUAUAAAAUUAUAACUACGAAAUAAUUAUAAUAAUAUAUAAUUAUAAGGAGGACUUGAAAGUAAAUCAAAUUAUAAAAACAUUUUGAAUAAGGCUCUGAAACGUGC